rnacentral:miRNA from 1 species
CAAUAAUAAUAAUAAUGAUGAUGAUGAUGAUGAUGAUAAUGGAUGGCAGUGCUGCCAAUAUAUCAUCAUCGUCAUCAUCGUUGUCAUCAUCAUCAUCAUCAUCAUCAUCAUCA